rnacentral:rRNA from 1 species
UACGGAGGGGGCGAGCGUUAUUCGGAAUUAUUGGGCGUAAAGGGCGCGUAGGCGGCUGUACAAGUCAAAGGUGAAAUCCCUCGGCUCAACUGAGGAACUGCCUUUGAAACUGUACGGCUUGGAGGCCGGGAGGGGGUAGCGGAAUUCCCAGUGUAGCGGUGAAAUGCGUAGAUACUGGGAGGAACACCAGUGGCGAAGGCGGCUACCUGGACCGGUUCUGACGCUGAGGCGCGAAAGCGUGGGUAGCAAACAGG